UACGUAGGGGGCAAGCGUUGUCCGGAUUUAUUGGGCGUAAAGAGCGUGUAGGCGGCCUGACAGGUCUGCUGUGAAAACUCGAGGCUCAACCUCGAGAUGUCGGCGGAAACCGUCUGGCUAGAGUCCGGAAGAGGAGAGUGGAAUUCCUGGUGUAGCGGUGAAAUGCGCAGGUAUCAGGAAGAACACCUAUGGCGAAGGCAGCUCUCUGGGACGGUACUGACGCUGAGACGCGAAAGCGUGGGGAGCGAACAGG
rnacentral:rRNA from 1 species